GGCCGACUAGCUCAGUUGGUUAGAGCGUCGUGCUAAUACUUAGUUUCAAGUCAGUUGUGUUUGGACCUUAGACCCAACUGGCUUGGGGCCAAGGAACGCGAAGGUCUUGGGUUCGAUCCCCACGUUGGCCA